AUGGAGCCAGGGGUCACAUGCAAGGGGCUCAGAGCUGGAGGCACCUUCUUCUUGGAGACACAAGCCUGGGCACCGCAACGAAAUCGAAAGCAAAGAGCAGGCGGGAUCCGGCAGCGCCUCCAGCCUGGUCCCCCGGUCGCAGGGUCUUCCCCAUCACCGCACCAUCGCCCGCGCCCCCCGCAACUCGGCGCUGCCCGCCCCGCGUGGCCACUUCUCCCGGCGGCAGAAAGGCCUCUCUGCGGGCAUCGAGGGCACCUACCGGUGCGGGGCCGGGAUCGCGAGCCGGGGCAGGGCAGGGCCGGACGCCUGCCGGGCGCAGGUGCGGCCAGGAGCGCCGUCUCCCGGGCUCGCUCCCGCUCCUCCUCCCGCGCCGGGACUCGGGGCGCUCUCCUGCGCCGCCUGCUCCCCGCCCCCACGCCCGGCGUUCGGGCUCCCCCCGCGCCGAUUUGCCGCUGCCCGUGCCUCCCCCACGCCGCCGGCCCUCCGGCGCCGCGCCUAGUCCCGCAUCGUGUGUCGGCGCCCGCCGCGGCGCGGGGGUCGGAGGGCUGCGGCCGCCGCUGCCCGGGCCGAGCGGAGCCCCCGGCGGCGGCGGCGGCGGCGGCGGCACUCACCCAUAGUAUGGAUGCGGUGCAAACUGCACAUGCUCGCGUCUGACAGGCGCUCUGCCUCCGGCCCCGCUUAACUCCUUGCUCGCCCGCUCACCCGCUCGCCCUCCGGGUUCGCGGCCCGGCCGACUCCCUCGCCCCUCCCCCGCCUCCGGGAGUCGGCUGCGCCCCGGGCGUCUGGAAAUGCUCCCCCCGGUCCCGAGCGCGGUGCAGGGGGCUGCAGUGCAGAGCUCCUCUGCCUGCCGGGCCCCUGCCACCCCGCCUGCGUGUACGGUGUCUGAAGGAGCCCCGAGGAGAGCACCAGCCGGGACCCCUCACCUCCCUGCUUGUAGGAGUUGUGGGGGCACAACGUCCACUGUGGGUGUCCUGUGGGUCCCCGUUCCCCGAGGGCCACGGGCCACACGGCACUGCAGACCCACCAGAUGUCAGCGCUGUGUUUUGUGCAGUCCAUUCGUUGAAAUAGGCCUGCAAGAUGGGUUUUAUUAUCCCCAUUUUCAAGAUGGGAAAACUGAGGCCUGUGGAAGUUAAGGAAUCUACCUAAUGGAGAGCCUGAACUUCCAAGGUUGACAGUUUGGUUUAUACCACAAAGAUUAAACAGAACAUGUUCUUUCUUAAGUCAGUUGGGAUCCUUCUAUUGGAAGAUGUAAAAUAAUGGAUGCCAUCUAGAAAACCUGGAGAUUCUGAUACGUGGAUCAGUGGGAAAUCCCUGACAGGAGGGCCAAAACUUGAGACAGGCCCCUCAGGUGGGUCCUAGGUCGUGCAGCAAGGCUGGGAAGGGAGUAGGAAGGCAAUGCAACUACGUCAAGCAUUUGGGUUUGGUACUGGAGCUACAGCCAAGAGGAAAGGACAUUUUUACAAUUUAGGGGUAUCUUUUUGUCAAUUAUCUGUCUGGAGGGGGCACCCUUUGCUAAUUCUCACAGGGACCCUAUGUGUGCCGAGGCCUGAUCAGAGAGGUCUGAUGGCUGCUUCUCUCCUAGCCCUCACUCCCUUUUUAAUCACAUGCCACAGCGACAGAGAGUUCUCAGGGGUCCAAAGCAGCACAGAAUCUUCUAAGGAAAGAAACCAUCCAGCCAGUCUCGCCCCACUCUGGAUGAGAAGCUGAGCUGCUGUUCUAAUCUGACCCGAAAUUGUGGGUUUCUCAAACCUGCAGAGGAAGUGCACAGUCACGUGGUGCCAAUGGCAAGAGCUCUUGGCUUCCCUGAGUUAGUUUCCUGCUCUGAGAUGGAGGUAGUAUGGCCUGGGUCAUAAGUAUAUUGUGAUGACCCAAUAAUGAAAUGCAUGUAGCAUCCUCAGUACAGAAGGCCUUCCAUAACAGGAGAGUAUUUUCUGCUGAGGGCAAAGCAGGGCUGGGGAGAAGGGAUCAGGGCUACAUUGAAGCCAUGGGCUGUCCUAGGACACUGUCAGAGAGGCAGAAGACAGGCCCCUCUCAGGAACACCUUGCAAGAAGAUACUUCAGUCAAUCUGGCAGCAAAGCCCACCUGCUGAAGAUGGACCUCCCUGGCCGGCCCCUUGCCUUGGAGUCCCUUUCUGCUCUGGUUUUCGAUCUCUGGCUGGUGGCUGAUUCCACUCCCUUCUGGCUCUGGGAGGCAGCAUUGCGCAGAAGAAAGCAUAACAGGCUGUUAAGGCGGAGGAUCUGAAUUGGGGGUGAUUUAUCCCUUAGUGUGCAGGGCUGAGCAUCCACAAUAUUUUUUUUUUCAUCCACAAUAUUUUUAGGGCCCAUAAAAUUUUCUGAAUUUCUUUUAAACUCAGAGGCAAAAAAUAAACUUUGAGGUCAAAGAAAAUGUUUUCCUAUA
rnacentral:lncRNA from 1 species